GACGAACGCUGGCGGCGUGCUUAACACAUGCAAGUCGAACGGAAAGGCCCUGCUUGCAGGGUACUCGAGUGGCGAACGGGUGAGUAACACGUGGGUGAUCUGCCCUGCACUUCGGGAUAAGCCUGGGAAACUGGGUCUAAUACCGGAUAGGAGCCAUUUUUAGUGUGAUGGUUGGAAAGUUUUUUCGGUGUAGGAUGAGCUCGCGGCCUAUCAGCUUGUUGGUGGGGUAAUGGCCUACCAAGGCGGCGACGGGUAGCCGGCCUGAGAGGGUGGACGGCCACAUUGGGACUGAGAUACGGCCCAGACUCCUACUGGAGGCAGCAGUGGGGAAUAUUGCACAAUGGGCGCAAGCCUGAUGCAGCGACGCCGCGUGGGGGAUGACGGCCUUCGGGUUGGAAACUCCUUUCGCUAGGGACGAAGCUUUUUGUGACGGUACCUAGAUAAGAAGCACCGGCUAACUACGUG
rnacentral:rRNA from 1 species